rnacentral:rRNA from 1 species
UACGAAGGGGGCUAGCGUUGUUCGGAAUUACUGGGCGUAAAGGGCGCGUAGGCGGCCCUCCAAGUCAGAUGUGAAAGCCCCGGGCUUAACCUGGGAAUAGCAUUUGAGACUGAAGGGCUUGAGUUUCGGAGAGGUGGGUGGAAUUCCCAGUGUAGAGGUAAAAUUCGUAGAUAUUGGGAAGAACACCGGUGGCGAAGGCGGCCCACUGGACGAACACUGACGCUGAGGCGCGAAAGCGUGGGGAGCAAACAGG